UCUGAAGAAAAGGCAGUUUUGGCGGUGAGAAUUCUGAUCUGCAUUGCCAUGGAACAUCUGCUCAUAUGUGUAUUCUGCUUGGUUGUCCACGUGACGUGCGCGAAGUCAUGUGACAUGCUGGCCUACGUCACCAUUUUUCUAAGCGCAUUAGCAGGCACAGAAUCGCUCGCAGGGGUAUUGACGUACGUACUGACAUACUUUGUUCUAGUUCAGGCGACUUCAUUCCCGUACGGCGUUGCCUUUGUGUGUGCAAACGUUGGAGCUGGCGUUUCAUUUAUGGCGUCAAUAUUGGCGCUCGCUGCCAAACGUUGUGUUAACAAUGAUGUGACGAACGUACAACGAUUUUAAAAUGAUCUAUUGUUCAGCCUUUAAUUUGUAUCAAACAACGAAAUUAAUUUGUUAUGUUCGUUUGUUCCUUAAAAUGCUGAAGUUGUAUCUUUCCGAAAUUUAAUUUUUAACUCGCGUUUCAAAACAUAAUUUUGACACUCUAAUGUUUCAAAAUCAACAAAGUAUGAACACUGGAAAUGUUUACAAUUUUAAAAUGAGAGGAGCAUAUCUUGCUUGUCUGGCUUUGCUUAUUUACAAUUUAAACCCCGCUUUGACGAUGAUAUCAUCGUAGACCUCUGCAUGCAUCUGCUACAAUCGGGUCACCAGCGAAUUGUAAACAAACAGACGUUUUGACUGGUUAUAUUCAUUAAAAAGUAUCGAUCAGGGUUUGCAGAUGUCUUUAAAUGCUUUAUCAAUAGUAAUUUGUAAUGUAUACGAACACAAGGCUAUUAUCAUACAAAUCAGCAUCUUUAAAUCUUGUUUGUAUCAUGAAUUAUUUAUUGUUGUUAAGGUUGUUUGACAAUUAUGUUAAUAGUUUCCGUAUCAAGUGUUUUUAGUUUUCGCACCAAUUUCUUUGUUGUUAAAUACUCGACAAUGUGUUCUGUAACACAGCUAUACAUAUUAUGUGCAUCAGGCUUUGUAAGCAUAUUCCAUACGAGAGCAAUAUAUAGCAGCACAGAACAAGACAGCUACACACCAAAGGAGCAAAAUCAGAUAUGAAUUAGAAAAAUAAAACUUGAAGUUGUUUAAAACUUUUUUUGCUAUGAAACAAAUUGUUAUUUUUCACAGACGACUCGUUAAUAAAAUUGGUAGAUAAUUA